rnacentral:rRNA from 1 species
CCUACGGGUGGCAGCAGUGGGGAAUCUUGCACAAUGGGGGGAACCCUGAUGCAGCGACGCCGCGUGAGUGAAGCAGUAUUUCGGUAUGUAAAGCUCUAUCAGCAGGGAAGAAGAUGACGGUACCUGACUAAGAAGCCGCGGCUAAAUACGUGCCAGCAGCAGCGGUAAGACGGAGGGAGAAAGCGUUAUCCGGAGUUACUGGGUGUAAAGGGAGCGUAGACGGCAGGGCAAGUCUGGAGGGAAUGCCCGGGGCCCAACCCCCGGACGGCUUUGGAAACUGCCAGGCUAGAGUGCUGGAGAGGUAAGCGGAAUUCUUGGUGUAGCGGUGAAAUGCGUAGAUAUUGGGAGGAACACCAGUGGCGAAGGCGGCUUACUGGACAGUAACUGACGUUGAGGCACGAAAGCGUGGGGAGCAAAAGGGAUUAGAUACCCGGGUAGUC